CAAACAUCCAGUGAAGAUGACUCUAAUUGUGGUUCCAAAGCAAGCUACAAAACACUUGCUAAAAUUGCAACUGAACAACAGAAAGCUAUGGAACAUAUUCAAAAACUGUUAGACAAAAGCGAUGACCUGUUGGACACUGAAAUGACUCGAUCUCAGUCCUUAAUUGAAGACAUAAAAAAUCUUCAUGUUAAGUAUGAGGAACUUGAAAGUCGUCAUGAAACGCUCUCAACAACUCAUGAAAAGCUUUCCUAUGAUUAUCUUCAAAGGAAGCAAGAACUUGAGAAAUUGAGAGCGGCUCAUGAAGAU
rnacentral:rRNA from 1 species